UACGUAGGGUGCAAUCGUUAGUCGGAAUUACUGGGCGUAAUGCGUGCGCAGGCGGUUUUGUAAGUCUGUCGUGAAAGCCCCGGGCUCAACCUGGGAAUUGCGAUGGAGACUGCAAGGCUUGAAUCUGGCAGAGGGGGGUAGAAUUCCACGUGUAGCAGUGAAAUGCGUAGAGAUGUGGAGGAACACCGAUGGCGAAGGCAGCCCCCUGGGUCAAGAUUGACGCUCAUGCACGAAAGCGUGGGGAGCAAACAGG
rnacentral:rRNA from 1 species